UUACGAGAUUAAAGACAAUUU
ensembl:piRNA 21ur-463 ncRNA